rnacentral:rRNA from 1 species
GAUGAACGCUGGCGGCGUGCCUAAUACAUGCAAGUCGAGCGAACAGAUAAGGAGCUUGCUCCUUUGACGUUAGCGGCGGGCGGGUGAGUAACACGUGGGUAACCUACCUAUAAGACUGGGAUAACUUCGGGAAACCGGAGCUAAUACCGGAUAACAUUUGGAACCGCAUGGUUCUAAAGUGAAAGAUGGUUUUGCUAUCACUUAUAGAUGGACCCGCGCCGUAUUAGCUAGUUGGUAAGGUAACGGCUUACCAAGGCAACGAUACGUAGCCGACCUGAGAGGGUGAUCGGCCACACUGGAACUGAGACACGGUCCAGACUCCUACGGGAGGCAGCAGUAGGGAAUCUUCCGCAAUGGGCGAAAGCCUGACGGAGCAACGCCGCGUGAGUGAUGAAGGGUUUCGGCUCGUAAAACUCUGUUAUUAGGGAAGAACAAAUGUGUAAGUAACUGUGCACGUCUUGACGGUACCUAAUCAGAAAGCCACGGCUAACUACGUG